rnacentral:rRNA from 1 species
UACGUAGGGUCCAAGCAUUAUCCGGAGUGACUGGGUGUAAAGAGUUGCGUAGGUGGCAGGGAAAGUCGAUAGUGAAAUCUGGUGGCUCAACCAUUCAGACUAUUGUCGAAACUUCUCAGCUCGAGACCGUUAGGGGUAGCUGGAAUUUCUAGUGUAGGAGUGAAAUCCGUAGAUAUUAGAAAGAACACCGAUAGCGUAGGCAGGCUACUGGGGCGGUUCUGACACUAAGGCACGAAAGCGUGGGGAGCAA